rnacentral:misc_RNA from 1 species
CUGGAAUAUUAUUGUUUGGUUGUUCCAUGAUCUAUGGGUCUACAGGAGCUACCCACUUCGAUCAAUUAGCCAAGAUUUUGACUGGAUACGAAAUCACUGGUGCUCGAUCUAGUGGUAUUUUUAUGGGGAUUCUAUUUAUCGCUGUAGGAUUCCUAUUCAAGAUCACUGCAGUUCCUUUUCAUAUGUGGGCACCUGAUAUCUAUGAGGGUUCACCCACCCCCGUUACAGCAUUCCUUUCUAUUGCGCCUAAAAUCUCUAUUUUUGCUAAUAUUUUACGUGUUUUUAUUUAUGGUUCCUAUGGAGCUACAUUGCAACAAAUCUUCUUUUUCUGCAGCAUUGCUUCUAUGAUCUUAGGAGCACUGGCCGCCAUGGCCCAAACGAAAGUAAAAAGACUUCUAGCUUAUAGUUCAAUUGGACAUGUAGGUUAUAUUUGUAUUGGGUUCUCAUGUGGAACCAUAGAAGGAAUUCAAUCACUACUAAUUGGUAUCUUUAUUUAUGCAUUAAUGACGAUAGAUGCAUUCGCCAUAGUUUUAGCAUUACGGCAAACCCGUGUCAAAUAUAUAGCGGAUUUGGGCGCUCUAGCCAAAACGAAUCCUAUUUUGGCUAUUACCUUCUCCAUUACUAUGUUCUCAUACGCAGGAAUACCCCCGUUAGCCGGCUUUUGUAGCAAAUUCUAUUUGUUCUUCGCCGCUUUGGGUUGUGGGGCUUACUUCCUAGCCUCAGUGGGAGUAGUGACUAGCGUUAUAGGUUGUUUUUAUUAUAUACGCUUAGUGAAAAGAAUGUUUUUUGAUACACCUAGGACAUGGAUUCUAUAUGAACCAAUGGAUCGUAACAAGUCGUUACUACUAGCAAUGACUUCCUCUUUCAUUACUUUAUUCUUUCUAUAUCCUUCUCCCUUGUUCUCAGUUACUCAUCAAAUGGCACUCAGUUUAUAUCUUUAAGUUCGAUCAUUGACAAGGUUCAAAGAAAGGGUGGGCCAUUGAUAAAGAAUCGAUUUCAAACCACAAUGCUAGCAGAUGGCGGGCCUCCGCUUUUCUUUUCAUUAAUGAAACCUGCCAGUCAUUAUGGACUCAAAUCAAAAGGACAAAAAAUUAGGAUUAUUCAGGCGUUUGCCUCUUUGUUCAAAAGAAAAAAAAAAGACGUGGGUGGCAUUAUGACUGGAGUGUCAGUUAGAAAGGUUCUUACAAUGUUCGAAA